rnacentral:rRNA from 1 species
UAUUAGAGUUUGAUCCUGGCUCAGGAUGAACGCUAGCGGCAGGCUUAAUACAUGCAAGUCGAGGGGCAGCAGGACUGUAGCAAUACAGUUGCUGGCGACCGGCAAACGGGUGCGGAACACGUACGCAACUUACCCAAAACUGGGGAAUAGCCCGGGGAAACCCGGAUUAAUACCUCGUAAGAUAGUGAAGUGGCAUCACUUUAUUAUUAUAGCUCCGGCGGUUUUGGAUGGGCGUGCGCCUGAUUGGGUAGUUGGCGGGGUAACGGCCCACCCAAGCCCUAACCAAUUCCAGNAAAAACUGGGGGGGGUCGCCUUGUUCUUAAAUGUCUUGAUCCGGCUUGGGAGGAGGCGGGGAGAGGGGGUCNUGAAACNAAAGAAAGGGAGAGGGGGCCAGAAGAGG